UACUCGAGUGGCGAACGGGUGAGUAACACGUGGGUGAUCUGCCUGCACUUCGGGAUAAGCCUGGGAAACUGGGUCUAAUACCGGAUAGGAGCCAUUUUUAGUGUGAUGGUUGGAAAGUUUUUUCGGUGUAGGAUGAGCUCGCGGCCUAUCAGCUUGUUGGUGGGGGUAAUGGCCUACCAAGGCGGCGACGGGUAGCCGGCCUGAGAGGGUGGACGGCCACAUUGGGACUGAGAUACGGCCCAG
rnacentral:rRNA from 1 species